rnacentral:rRNA from 1 species
UACGAAGGGGGCUAGCGUUGCUCGGAAUCACUGGGCGUAAAGCGCACGUAGGCGGCUUCUUAAGUCAGGGGUGAAAUCCUGGAGCUCAACUCCAGAACUGCCCUUGAUACUGAGGAGCUCGAGUCCGGAAGAGGUGAGUGGAACUGCGAGUGUAGAGGUGAAAUUCGUAGAUAUUCGCAAGAACACCAGUGGCGAAGGCGGCUCCCUGAGCAAGUAGCUGACACUCAGGCA